rnacentral:rRNA from 1 species
UACGGGGGGGGCAAGCGUUGUUCGGAAUUACUGGGCGUAAAGGGCUCGUAGGUGGCCAACUAAGUCAGACGUGAAAUCCCUCGGCUUAACCGGGGAACUGCGUCUGAUACUGGAUGGCUUGAGUUUGGGAGAGGGACGCGGAAUUCCAGGUGUAGCGGUGAAAUGCGUAGAUAUCUGGAGGAACACCGGUGGCGAAGGCGGCAUCCUGGACCAACACUGACGCUGAGGAGCGAAAGCCAGGGGAGCAAACAGG